UCCAGGUUCCAAUUCAAUUCCUCACAUAACGGACUACAUGCUUAUUCCCUUUUUAAUUUUUAUUUCUCGGUAUAUACAUGAUUUGAUUCCAUAUUCAAUUUACUAUCCAUGAAUUUUUAUGUACAGACGUUCUCAAAUGCUAUGGAAUACAGUUGAAGAAAUAGUUUAUUCAACCUUUUGUCUCUGUGUUUUGGUUACGGACAUUUCAAGUUCCGUCUUUUUUGAGAAGAAAAGCCAACCCUAAAAAUGUUGUUUCCAUCAUACUGGGAGGAGGUUCUGGUGUUCAACUUUUUCCUCUUACCAAACGAGCUGCUACACCAGCUGUUCCUGUUGGUGGAUGCUACAGGCUUAUAGACAUUCCAAUGAGCAACUGCAUCAACAGCGGGAUCAACAAAGUAUUUGUAUUGACACAGUUCAACUCAGCAUCCCUUAACCGUCAUAUCUCUCGCACCUAUUUUGGAAAUGGCAUCAACUUUGGAGAUGGAUACGUAGAGGUAUGUAUCAAGA